UCAGCAACCUAAAAUAACUUCUCAGAAAACAGACCAACGAACUGAUGCUAAUUGCUAAGAAGCACCAGACAGCUAAACAAUAGCAAGUAAGAUCUCAAACCCCUCUGCAUUGAAGUCAAAAUCUGAAUCACAAGUGAAAAGCAUUAAUCCAGCUAGUGUAAGAAGGAACACAUGAAAAUUACAUCUGAAACUCCAAAUUUUGCUCAAUAAAAUCAAGCUAUAAGGAGGCAAAAACUUGAAGAGGGGAAAGCUAGACAGUUUUGCUUAUAUCCUUAGCAUCAAACCCCAUACUUUGCUCCAUAAAACAAGACCUGGGAAAUUUACGGGCAACUUGUUCACUUCAACUGAUGAAACACGUACAGAAGACAGAAAGAUUUGUGUUCGAGAACCAGCAGCCCCAUUUAUUUCAAUGGCAGAAAUGAAGAAGAAGUUCGAAUCUAGUACAAGGGAGAUGUCAAUGCCACGCUUGAAUUGUUCCAUGUCACAUAUAAAUACAAAUAACUUGCUUAAAAGUUCUAUUAUUUUUGUAGUACAUUUUC